GAUGAAGAACGUAGCGAAAUGCGAAAAGUAGUGUGAAUUGCAGAAUUCAGUGAAUCAUCGAGUCUUUGAACGCACAUUGCGCCCCCUGGUAUUCCGGGGGGCAUGCCUGUCCGAGCGUCAUUGCUGCCCUCAAGCACGGCUUGUGUGUUGGGCCCCGUCCUCCGAUCCCGGGGGACGGGCCCGAAAGGCAGCGGCGGCACCGCGUCCGGUCCUCGAGCGUAUGGGGCUUUGUCACCCGCUCUGUAGGCCCGGCCGGCGCUUGCCGAUCAACCCAAAUUUUUAUCCAGGUUGACCUCGGAUCAGGUAGGGAUACCCGCUGAACUUAAGCAUAUCAAUAAGCGGAGGA
rnacentral:misc_RNA from 1 species